rnacentral:rRNA from 1 species
UACGAAGGGGGCUAGCGUUGUUCGGAAUUACUGGGCGUAAAGCGCGCGUAGGCGGACUGGUCAGUUGGGGGUGAAAUCCCGGGGCUCAACCUCGGAACUGCCUCCAAAACUUCCAGCCUGGACUCAAGCAGAGGCAAGUGGAAUUGCGAGUGUAGAGGUGAAAUUCGUAGAUAUUCGCAGGAACACCAGUGGCGAAGGCGACUUGCUGGGCUUGUAGUGACGCUGAGACGCGAAAGCGUGGGGAGCAAACAGG